rnacentral:tRNA from 1 species
CAUUAUGAAGCUAAGUAGCGUUAACCUUUUAAGUUAAAGACUGGGAACUGCCACCUCCCCAUAAUGA